UACGUAGGAUCCAAGCGUUGUCCGGAUUUACUGGGUGUAAAGGGUGCGCAGGCGGACUUAUAAGUCAGUGGUGAAAUCUCACGGCUCAACCGUGAAACUGCCUUUGAUACUGUAGGUCUUGAGUCAGAGAGAGAGUCGUGGAAUUCCGAGUGUAGCAGUGAAAUGUGUAGAUAUUCGGAAGAACACCAGUGGCGAAGGCAGCGACUUGGCUCUGUACUGGCGCUCAGGCACGAAAGCAUGGGGAUCAAACAGG
rnacentral:rRNA from 1 species